rnacentral:rRNA from 1 species
CCUACGGGGUGCAGCAGUCGAGAAUCAUUCACAAUGGGGGAAACCCUGAUGGUGCGACGCCGCGUGGGGGAAUGAAGGUCUUCGGAUUGUAAACCCCUGUCAUGUGGGAGCAAAUUAAAAAGAUAGUACCACAAGGGGAAGAGACGGCUAACUCGGUGCCAGCAGCCGCGGUAAUACAGAGGUCGCAAGCGUUGUUCGGAAUCACUGGGCGUAAAGCGUGCGUAGGCUGUUUCGUAAGGCGUGUGUGAAAGGUGCGGGCUCAACCCGCGGAUGGCACAUGUAAAUGGGAGACUAGAGUAAUGGAGGGGGAACCGGAAUUCGUGGUGUAGCAGUGAAAUGCGUAGAUAUCGAGAGGAACACUCGUGGCGAAGGCGGGUUCCUGGACAUUCACUGACGCUGAGGCACGAAGGUCAGGGGAGCGAAAGGGAUUAGAUACCCUAGUAGUC